rnacentral:rRNA from 1 species
UACGUAGGUGGCAAGCGUUGUCCGGAUUUACUGGGCGUAAAGGAUGCGUAGGCGGACAUUUAAGUCAGAUGUGAAAUACCCGAGCUUAACUUGGGUGCUGCAUUUGAAACUGGGUGUCUAGAGUGCAGGAGAGGUAAGUGGAAUUCCUAGUGUAGCGGUGAAAUGCGUAGAGAUUAGGAAGAACACCAGUGGCGAAGGCGACUUACUGGACUGUAACUGACGCUGAGCAUGAAAGCGUGGGGAGCAAACAGG